rnacentral:lncRNA from 1 species
UAAACACAUGACCGUUUUGGUUGAUAGACCCAUCAGUGAGUAAUCUCCGUAAUCUUUUUUCUCUUCUGUUGGGGCCUAUAUUCCGAUGCCCCAUCCUGCACUGGCUCUUGCCUGAUAGGUUCAAACUUGGUGUCUCAGCGGCCUGUAAUUGCUAUUCUCGGAAACCUUUCCAAGUCUUUCGAAGAAAAACUUGCGAGCAAGGCUGAGUUGAUACAGGCAAGAUCAUGGGCACCACUUGCAGCCACACAAAAGCAUCUUGUCACGCUCACGGCUCACGCACCCAACCAAUCAACAACUCUCCCCAUCCUAUCCCAAGCCAUAUGUAAACCAAUCAAACAUGCCUUCAUGCUUCUAUACUAACCACGAUAAGCCUGAAUCUCCUCACCAUCCG